rnacentral:sRNA from 1 species
GUCGUGAGAUGUUGGGUUAAGUCCCGCAACGAGCGCAACCCUUGUCAUUAAUUGCCAUCAUUUAGUUGGGCACUUUAAUGAGACUGCCGGUGACAAACCGGAGGAAGGUGGGGAUGACGUCAAGUCCUCAUGGCCCUUAUGGGUAGGGCUUCACACGUCAUACAAUGGUCGGUACAGAGGGUUGCCAAGCAGCGAUGCGGAGCCAAUCCCAGAAAGCCGAUCGUAGUCCGGAUCGGAGUCUGCAACUCGACUCCGUGAAGUCGGAAUCGCUAGUAAUCGCGGAUCAGCAUGUCGCGGUGAAUACGUUCCCGGGUCUUGUACACACCGCCCGUCACACCAUGGGAGUGGGUAUUACCAGAAGCAGGUAGCCUAACCGCAAGGAGGGCGCUUGCCACGGUAGGAUUCAUGACUGGGGUGAAGUCGUAACAAGGUAGCCGUAUCGGAAGGUGCGGCUGGAUCACCUCCUUUCUAGAGAUCCUGUAUGAAUUGAGCAUCCACAACCUAUCGGUUGUUUAGCAGUCCUUGAGAGGGGGUCUGUAGCUCAGCUGGUUAGAGCACCGUCUUGAUAAGGCGGGGGUCGAUGGUUCGAACCCAUCCAGACCCACCACGACGCGUUAUCGGGGGUGUAGCUCAGUUGGGAGAGCGCCUGCUUUGCAAGCAGGAGGUCAUCGGUUCGAUCCCGUUCACCUCCACCACUAUCAAGAGAGAGAUCAGAAGCAAGUGAACGGAAGUUUGCUUGCUUCUGGCCUUUAGCCGGAGGCUGUUGAUCUUUAAAAAUUUGGAAGAAGUAAAGUGUGUUGGUCCGAGAGGGCCGACGCAUGGGUUGUGAUUGUAUCUGACCGCAUUCUGUGGCUAACCAGCCUAUGGGGUGCGGGCACAAGCGCGAGAAAGCCUAUGGCUGUUCUGUCUUAGGGCAGAGCUUAAGGUUAUAGGGUCAAGCGAAUAAGUGCAUGUGGUGGAUGCCUUGGCGAUCACAGGCGAAGAAGGACGUUGUAGCGUGCGAAAAGCCGCGGGGAGCUCGCAAACAAGCUUUGAUCCGCGGAUAU